AAAUCAUGUCAAUGAGUACCUGGGUCCUGCUGCUGCCCCUCCCUUCCCUGUGCCCUGGUGCACCCUGAGGAGAGCAGAGAGGGGCAUGUGCUGGUUCCAGUGUGAGAAUCAUGAAGCCUGGAUUAUUCACACAAAUUCUGGGGCAGUCUUCUGGCUUGUAAAUACUUCCUCGAAUGACUUGGUGAAAAAUGAGGAGCCAAGCAGGGUGCUGUUAGAAGCAAUGAGCCUUGUGAAGCACUCGGAUGCACUCAGAUGCCAUCCUGAUAACGGCCCCAGAAAAGCUCACAAGAAAAUCAGCAGUUGUGUCUUCCAAGCAGAUCUAAGUUGUGCAUGUGCAAAAGGAUACCUGUGCCUAGAAAGAGACAAAAUCUGAAUUCCAAAAUGGAUGUUGUUCAAUGAAAUGUGCAGGAUCUUAAAUCUUGGCUCUGCUGAAGAGAUGUUUCUUGGUGCCUGGAUUCUGGAGUAUCUUCUCAGUGGAAAGGAACAUGGAGUUCCCAAUUCCCUCACAAGGUGUCUGAUGCAAGUAAAGGAGUUUGCAGACCUAAAGAUCUUUUUGAGGCUAAAUAGGUCUUAAGAACCAAAUAAGUUGGUUUCUAGUCCCAUAUCUGCCAUUCCUUAUUCCUAAAAACAGUCCUCACAUGGUUGACAUUUCCUUUCUGCACUUCACACAGGAGAGAGGGACUCCUGGAGGGGUGAAAGAAUAAAUCCAAUCUCCUCAGCCUCAUUAAGGAGC